rnacentral:rRNA from 1 species
CGGGACGGGUGAGUAAUGUCUGGGGAACUGCCUGAUGAGGGGGGAUAACUACUGGAAACGGUAGCUAAUACCGCAUAACGUCGCAAGACCAAAGAGGGGGACCUUAGGGCCUCUUGCCAUCGGAUGUGCCCAGAUGGGAUUAGCUAGUAGGUGGGGUAACGGCUCACCUAGGCGACGAUCCCUAGCUGGUCUGAGAGGAUGACCAGCCACACUGGAACUGAGACACGGUCCAG